rnacentral:tRNA from 1 species
GGGCACGUAACCGGUAAUUGGUAGCCGCGGGGACUGUAAAUCCCCUCCUUAAUUGGACUGCAGGUUCGAGUCCUGCCGGGCCCA